UGGGGAAUAUUGGACAAUGGGCGCAAGCCUGAUCCAGCAAUGCCGCGUGAGUGAUGAAGGCCUUAGGGUUGUAAAGCUCUUUUACCCGGGAUGAUAAUGACAGUACCGGGAGAAUAAGCCCCGGCUAACUCCGUGCCAGCAGCCGCGGGAAUACGGAGGGGGCUAGCGUUGUUCGGAAUUACUGGGCGUAAAGCGUACGUAGGCGGUGUCUCAAGGCAGUGGUGAAAGGCGGGAGCUCAACUCAAGAACUGCCUUUGAAACUAGGACGCUAGAAUUGCGGAGAGGUGAGUGGAAUUCCGAGGGUAGAGGUGAAAUUCGUAGAUAUUCGGAAGAACACCAGUGGCGAAGGCGGCUCACUGGACGCAUAUUGACGCUGAGGUACGAAAGCGUGGGGAGCAAA
rnacentral:rRNA from 1 species